GACGAACGCUGGCGGCGUGCCUAAUACAUGCAAGUCGAACGCAGUGGGGACGGGUGAGUAACACGUGGGUAACCUCCCAUCAGAGGGGAUAACACUUGGAAACAGGUGCUAAACCGAUACUGAUGGAUGGACCCGCGGUGCAUUAGCUAGUUGGUGAGGUAACGGCUCACCAAGGCCACGUUGCAUAGCCGACCUUAGAGGGUGAUCGGCCACACUGGGACUGAGACACGGCCCAGACUCCUACGGGAGGCAGCAGUAGGGAAUCUUCGGCAAUGGACGAAAGUCUGACCGGUCAACGCCGCUUGAGUGAAGAAGGUUUUCGGAUCGUAAAACUCGGUUGCAGAGGCAGCGGUACUCUGCGAGAAAGCCACGGCUAACUACGUGCCAGCAGCCGCGGUAAUUG
rnacentral:rRNA from 1 species